rnacentral:rRNA from 1 species
UACGUAGGGUGCGAGCGUUAAUCGGAAUUACUGGGCGUAAAGCGUGCGCAGGCGGUUUUGUAAGCCAGAUGUGAAAGCCCCGGGCUUAACCUGGGAAUGGCAUUUGGGACUGCAAAGCUUGAGUGUGGCAGAGGGGACUGGAAUUCCUGGUGUAGCAGUGAAAUGCGUAGAGAUCAGGAGGAAUACCGAUGGCGAAGGCAGGUCCCUGGGCUGACACUGACGCUCAUGCACGAAAGCGUGGGGAGCAAACAGG